rnacentral:RNase_P_RNA from 1 species
GAAGCUGACCAGACAGUCGCCGCUUCGUCGUCGUCCUCUUCGGGGGAGACGGGCGGAGGGGAGGAAAGUCCGGGCUCCAUAGGGCAGGGUGCCAGGUAACGCCUGGGGGGGAAACCCACGACCAGUGCAACAGAGAGCAAACCGCCGAUGGCCCGCGCAAGCGGGAUCAGGUAAGGGUGAAAGGGUGCGGUAAGAGCGCACCGCGCGGCUGGUAACAGUCCGUGGCACGGUAAACUCCACCCGGAGCAAGGCCAAAUAGGGGUUCAUAAGGUACGGCCCGUACUGAACCCGGGUAGGCUGCUUGAGCCAGUGAGCGAUUGCUGGCCUAGAUGAAUGACUGUCCACGACAGAACCCGGCUUAUCGGUCAGUUUCACCUGAUUUACGUAAAAACCCGCUUCGGCGGGUUUUUGCUU